CAUGUAUUAAACAGCGGGAGCCUACCCAGGCUUGCCUCGGGCACCAUGGGUAGCAAGGAAAAGGAGGCCACAACCAACAUGCCAACCAGGGGUCUUCCUUUCUCCUCCUGUCCAUGAGAAGCAUAACUCCUGCCCUUCUCCCUUCUCGUCUUGAAGGAGAAACAUGUGCCUGUAGAAGUGAAAGUACCGUGGAAAGAUUUAAGAAAAAAGAGAGAGAUGUCCUUACUCCAAAGUUAAUAAUGACGCCGCUCUCUGCCACAGCCAGGUGGAGGUAGGUGUCUGAUUAAGCACGCUGCACCCUGGGAGAGAAUAAGAAAGUAAAAGGCAGUCUCUAAGGCUGCUCCACGGAGGGAGGGCCAAAGUCGGGUGAGAGGCCUGUGAGCCCUGAGCGGGGAGAAGAGCUGGACCCCCGAAUCUGGAGCCCCGACGACGACGACGACACAGGCAGGAACCUUGACAAAUAGACUGGAUGCUGGUCAUGAAUGAAUGUGGAAUUGAAGUUGGCUCCUUUGGCUGCAGGAUGCCAGGUUCUCCCCUUCUAGACAACUCAGUGCCCCACACCUGGCCGAGGCAACUUUGGGGGCUUCAUUCUCCUUGGAAGUAAUUAAACUGUGUAGAGCUUCAAAAGAAUGGAAGGUAAGAAUAAACAUGGCUGCAUUCUCCCACCUUCAGAUCUUCCAGGUGAAGCCUGGACUAGAAAGAGGACUGGACCUGGAGUCAGGAAGCUCCCUGGUCUGGUCUCUGUGGAAUAACUCCCUGAACAACCAUUAGCAAAUCACUUGACUGCUCAGAGCCUCGGUUUCCUCAUCUGUGAAACUGGGAAUAGUAAAACCUAACUCAGAGAAUUGUGGGGGAAAAUCAAAUAACAGUGCUGGCCUCAACAGCAUGUGAUCUGGUGUGUGUGUGACCUUGGGAGCCAGAAGGUCAGGACUCCUAUCCCAACCCUGUGGUUUAUCAGCCACAUGACCUUGAGGAAGUUUUGGAGCCUUCCGGGCCUCAUCUGUAAAAUGAAAAUUGUAAUAGCAGAUGCUGCAGUGCAGGGGUGUAGAAUUUAAAUGAAAUGAGGACAGGCUUGGCAAGUAAGUAUGCUGAAGUGUUACAAAGCUAACAAAUACUGAAUUAUUUCCUUCUCCUCUUCUGUGAAAUAAGGGAAUUGAACUCAAUACAUAAGAUACAUUUCUUUGCUGAUGCUAAGUCUAGGAUUUUUUGAAAAUUUUAUUAUGUAGCUUUCUAACAUUAUACAAAAAGGUUCACAUGCUGGAACAAAAAUCCAGGUACUCACUACUAGGUUAAAAAGUAAACCUUACCAGAGUUCCUCUUGUGGCAUAGCGGAAAUGAA